UCCCAUCAGGUCUUUGGUGGAGGAGGUAAUGGCUGAAAAACGUGAGCUUGUUCUUAACCAGGGAAAAGAGAAGAGACCCUGAAGAAGCUAGUCGGCACAGAGUGUGGCUUCUGCUGCAUGUCCAGCUGCUGUCUGUCCCCCAGGAGACCAUUCUAGAGCACACUUGCAUGGGGUGGAGGAUAUUUUCAGCUGCUGAGUCUUCUUCAAGGAGGAGUUAGAGUCAAGACUCUCUGUCUCAGAACCUUGGAGUCCAAAUAGAAAAAAAAAAUUGGAGAUGUGGUAACAUCAAGUGUCAGCCAAGCUGAGAAAACUAGAUGCCAAAAAUGAUAUGUGUAAAAAGCAAGCGGGCCAAGCAGACACAACAGUUGCAGAGAUAAGAGGCAGUCGCUUUUCUUCAAUGGAGGUGCCGAUGCCUACAGAGGACUCACCCAGACCCUUCAAUCUGAUGUAGCAAAUAAUAAAGAGAGAGAUUCGGUACCUAUGGGAACAGCCUCUACUCAGUGACAUUCAAGACAUUUCAAUGCACCAUCUACCUCAUCUACCCAGGUGGCACCACCAGUGUGGGGUCCAGGAGACAGUGCAUCGGGAAGGGACAGAACAGCGAUCUCAGAGACCAGGACAGGCUCAGAGGGACACCUUGACCCUGGGGAAAGAAGAGGAGCCAGGGCCUUGUUUACAUGUUGAAAUCCUCAGGAGGUCAAGGACGAGCCAUACUGAUGAGAAUUAAAGACUCUUGGUGUGUCAGGAGAGAGGAAGAGUUAAAGUCUUGAAGAGGACUCUGUGACAGCUAAAGUAUCAUGUGUACAGGUACAUUUACCACAUCAUGACUUUAACCAUCUAUGUUCUUCAAGGAAGAUAGAGGCUUAUGAAUGGGGACAGAAAUAGAACGAAGGUCAAGAACAGAGUGGGAGAAAAUUAAAGAGUAGGGGAGCAAGGUGCCAUAAUAGUGAAAGGAAAUACAAGAUUCCUGUUGUCAAGGACCUUACAUUCAAUAGGAGAAAGACGUACAAUAAGCAAAUAAAAAUGUAAGUAAAUAUAGUGCUUUCAGAUAAAUAAAAUAAAACAGUGAUAGGAUAGAGAAUAUCUACAGAGGAGAAUGAGUUCAGGAAAGAUGUCUUAAAAGAGGCAGUAAUACAUCCUAGACAUAAAUGACAGAAAGAAGCCAGCAAUUAAGGCGUCAGGUAUAGAAUGCUCUGGGCAGAAGUAGUAGCAAGUGAAAAGUCCUGAUAUUAGAUCAUAGUGGUGGAGGGAGAGGGUAGUUGCCAUGCAGGGCUCACUUGGCAGGAUAAAGACUCAGGCAACAGCCCUGAAGAAGGAGGAAAGGGGACUAAGGGAGAGGCAGUUUGGAGGUAGAGCCCUCAAAUAACUUUUUCUGUAGAUGUAUAGGAAAUAGAGGAAUCAAGGACAAAUCCUAUACUUUUGAUUAAAAUUACUGGUUUGAUGGAUUUAUCAUUCACUGAGAGGUUAAAGAAAUAAUUUUUUGGACCAUAUCAAAUGUGAGAUGCCAAGGAUAUGCUUGGAUCUAUGAGUCUGAAGCAUAUUGAGGCUCACUGAGGUGGUCAUUGACAUUCAGAGGGUAUUGAAGUAAAGGAACUGCUUGCAAUUACCCAGAAGGUAGAAUAGACAGAGGAGGAGAGGGAUAGAACCAAGUUCUUAUGUUUUCUUCUGGGAGUUUUAUGGCUUCAGGUCCUAUGUUGUCUUCAAUCCAUUUUGAUUUGAUUUUUCUGUACAGUGUAAGAU
rnacentral:lncRNA from 1 species